CGAGUUGUAAUUUGCAGAGGAUGCUUCGGCGUCGGCCCCGGGCCAAGUCCCCUGGAACGGGGCGCCUCAGAGGGUGAGAGCCCCGUACCCGCCCGGAUGUCCCUCGCCGUGUGAAGCUCCUUCGACGAGUCGAGUUGUUUGGGAAUGCAGCUCCAAGCGGGAGGUAAAUUCCUUCUAAAGCUAAAUAUGCGCCAGAGACCGAUAGCGCACAAGUAGAGUGAUCGAAAGAUGAAAAGCACUUUGGAAAGAGAGUUAAAAAGCACGUGAAAUUGUUGAAAGGGAAGCUCUUGCCGCCAGACUUGCCGCGGUUGCUCAGCCGCCCCCCCGGGGCGGUGUACUCUCCCGUCGGUAGGCCAGCGUCGGUUCGGGCGGCCGGACAAAUGCCCCGGGAAUGUAGCACCCCACGGGGUGUGUUAUAGCCCGGGGUGCAAUGCGGUCAGCCCGGUCCGAGGGAUGCGUUCGCGAGGACGCUGGCGUAAUGGCCGCAAGCGACCCGUCUUGAAACACGGACCAAGGAGUCUAACAUCUGUGCGAGUGUUUGGGCGUCAAACCCAUGCGCGUAAUGAAAGUGAACGGAGGUGGGAACCCCCCUCGAGGGGUGCACCAUCGACCGAUCCUGAUGUCUUCGGAUGGAUUUGAGUAAGAGCAUAGCUGUURGGACCCGAAAGAUGGUGAACUAUUCCCGGAUAGGGUGAAGCCAGAGGAAACUCUGGUGGAGGCUCGCAGCGGUUCUGACGUGCAAAUCGAUCGUCAAAUCUAGGAAUAGGGGCGAAAGACUAAUCGAACC
rnacentral:rRNA from 2 species